rnacentral:rRNA from 1 species
UACGUAGGGGGCAAGCGUUGUCCGGAAUCAUUGGGCGUAAAGCGCGUGUAGGCGGCUCGGUAAGUCUGCUCUGAAAGCCCGGGGCUCAACCCUGGGAGGCGGGUGGAUACUGCUGAGCUCGAGUCCGGAAGAGGCGAGUGGAAUUCCUGGUGUAGCGGUGAAAUGCGCAGAUAUCAGGAGGAACACCAAUGGCGAAGGCAGCUCGCUGGGACGGUACUGACGCUGAGACGCGAAAGCGUGGGGAGCAAAUGGG